rnacentral:rRNA from 1 species
GAUGAACGCUAGCGGCAGGCCUAACACAUGCAAGUCGUACGGUAACAUUGGUGCUUGCACCAGAUGACGAGUGGCGCACGGGUGCGUAACGCGUAUAGAACCUACCUUAUACUGGGGGAUAGCCCAGAGAAAUUUGGAUUAAUACCCCAUAGUAUUAUGAUUUAGCAUUAGAUUAUAAUUAAAGAUUUAUUGGUAUAAGAUGGCUAUGCGUCCUAUUAGCUAGUUGGUAAGGUAAUGGCUUACCAAGGCUACGAUAGGUAGGGGUCCUGAGAGGGAGAUCCCCCACACUGGUACUGAGACACGGACCAG